GACGAACGCUGGCGGCGUGCCUAAUACAUGCAAGUCGAACGAGAGCGCCCGGUGCUUGCACUGGUCAAUCUAGUGGCGAACGGGUGAGUAACACGUGGGUAACCUGCCCAUCAGAGGGGGAUAACAUCCGGAAACGGAUGCUAAAACCGCAUAGGUCUUCGAGCCGCAUGGCUUGAAGAGGAAAAGAGGCGCAAGCUUCUGCUGAUGGAUGGACCCGCGGUGCAUUAGCUAGUUGGUGAGGUAACGGCUCACCAAGGCCGGGAUGCAUAGCCGACCUGAGAGGGUGAUCGGCCACAUUGGGACUGAGACACGGCCCAAACUCCUACGGGAGGCAGCAGUAGGGAAUCUUCCGCAAUGGACGCAAGUCUGACGGAGCAACGCCGCGUGAGUGAAGAAGGUUUUCGGAUCGUAAAACUCUGUUGUUAGAGAAGAACAAGUGCUAGAGUAACUGUUAGCGCCUUGACGGUAUCUAACCAGAAAGCCACGGCUAACUACGUG
rnacentral:rRNA from 1 species